AUGUUUCAAAAUUUUCUGAAUUUUUUGUUAAUGUUCACAAAGUAUGUGACUAGAACCCCUAAAAAGUCAGAUCCAAAUUCAAAAUACACAUUAAGAAACAAAAAAGACAAACCUAGAAUGAAAAGUGUGAAAAAAAUCAAAAGCAUAAUUGACACUGUUCACAUCCGGAUUUCUCUUUUUUGUUUCUCAAGGUUCAUUUUGAUUUUUAUCCUGAAAUUUUCAGCGGUUGUAGAUACAUUUCCUGUGAACAUUCACAUUUUUUCAGAAUUUUUUGAAACAUCUAAAAUUGACUCUUUUUUUUGA
rnacentral:rRNA from 1 species